rnacentral:rRNA from 1 species
AUGCACUGUGGCUAUUGCAAAGGAGCUGGUCAUAACAGAAGUGGUUGCUCAAAGUUGAAAGCUGUUGUACUAAGAGAAGAGGAAGAUCAACAUGAGCAGACUGGGGACUUUGGAAGUGAUGCACAUGAGCAUGGCAGAACAGAUAAUGUUGAAAGUGAUCAACCUGAUCAUGGCAGAACAGAAAAUGUUGCAACUCAGCAGCUAGAAUCACAUAGUAGGAGGGGAAGGAAGAGAAAGCCCACUGACAACAUGAGGGAACAAAUAGAGCAAAUGAGGGAGCAAGCUAAGAAAAAAAAGUCAAAGAUGGUUAUUGAUGAAAAUGGAGAUGUUGACUUCCCUAUAAUUCUAACUCACAUUCAGAACAAAACUUUGAGGCCAGAUCUUGACCCAACACAGGUUAAAGACAGCAUGAUACAUAUUUUAUCACAUGAGGGAACAGCACAAGGAAUUCCUGUUACUAGGAUACACCAAAUUCCUGAGGAAAGUGCAUUUGUAGUUGAGCACAGGGCCAACAUAGCAGCUAGAGGAAGAGGAGUUAGAGGAGCUGCUGCUUCUGCACAAACACCAGGCAGAGGAAGAGGAGCUGGAAGAGGUGCUGGUUCUGAACAAGCACAAGGCAGAGGAAGAGGAGCUGGAAGAGCUAGUGCUUCUGCACAAGCACCAGUCAGAGGAAGAGGAGCUGGAAGAGGUACUGCUUCUGCACAAACACAAGUCAGAGUGAGAGGAACAAGAGGAAGAAGAGGAACAAGAAACAAGAAAACAAAAACAAAGGGACUGAAGUGGCUGCUACUUGGAGAAGGGUCUAGCAGAACCAGACAUGUUCCAGCAGAUGAAGAAUGA